AAUCAGGACUGUAUUUGAAGAGCUCAAGAAAUGGAGAGUAUUUCUUUUUUCCAUUCAGGUGUUUAGGGAUAAAAGAUGCCUUUUCUUAAAAAUGCAGUUUAUGAAUCUGCACAUUAGAAAAGAAAAAUGGUUGUUUAUUAUGUCUGUACGACCCCACAGAGCUGAGAGAAUGAGCUACUUCGUGGUGCAGGUCAUCUGGUGGCAUAAACUGGGAUAUGUUUGUUGAAGAGUUGGGUGGGCCUAGCAAGAUGGCAGCGCAUGUGCAAUAAGUAUUCCCGUGAAGUACCACUGCUAAGGUAAUGUCGUUUCUAUCAGAUUUGUAAGUUACUCUGUUUUCCAUAUAACUAUAUUUUUUUCAUUUGAA
rnacentral:lncRNA from 1 species